AAGGGAUGCAGUACAAACGCAAGUCUCAACAGUAGAGAGUCAAAACCAUCCAGCACUCAGUGGCCCCAUCGCGCUGGUCAGUAGAGGACCCGAGGCCAUCAGACGCAGCGGAACCUUUCUGGGUCGUAAGGUGAUAGUCCGGGGGACGUAAAUAGCCAGACGACGCGAGGAGGAAAGUGCGGGAGACUGGAAUGAAGCGACUGGAGAGUUAUGAAGGAUGAGUAUGAAGAUUCUUUGUCUUUUUAUUGAUUGAUUUAUUUAUUCAUUCAUUUAUCUGUUUGUUUAUUUAUUUAUUUUAUUUAUUUACUUAUUUGUCUGGUGUGGGUUUGUGUCUCUAAGGUGUUGGGUCUGCUUGUCUUCUUUCUCAGAUUUACACUAUAAUCUUUGAAGCAAUACUCACAUAAAUGGGCACUGAAUGUUUAGUAAAGCUCCCCAAAGAUUUACACUAUCGUUGUUCAAGCAAUGUUCACCAGAGUGGGGACAACGUUUAGUAAAGCUUCCCAAGUGUAGGUAGUUUAAUGUUUACUUAGUAAAACCACCGCGGGUUACUGAAAGAAAAUGGUUCUCUCAUAAGAGCGCAAUGAUGAUUAAUUUGGUCUCUUUCUUUAUUUUUUUUAUUUUAUUAUUUACUUAUUUUUUGUUAAUGGUAAUGCAUGACGUGAGCUGCAGCAUCACCAUUAUGGACACACUCUUCAAGACCCCCAUUAUUGUCCUCUCUGUGUGAAAUGCGUAGGGAAAGUACUUAUAGAACACCAAAUCCGAACUGUGGCCCCGGUAUUUUGUGUUACUGGCCAGUGUUCAGUUAUAUGAUGCUGCAAAGGGUCUUCGGGUCCUCCAGGCUCACUUCCCUAACCUUGCUCUGUACUCUCGCUCUUCCUUCUUACAAGCAGAAAGUGAGUCCAUUGCAAUAUGAAAAGGAUAUAAAAAAGGUGCCAGAUUAUGAAGAAAUGCAGUUGUAGUGUAGAAUGUUACUAAUAUUGUACCGAAAUGCAUUAUUCAUACAUAUUUUGAAGCUUUUAAAGCAUUCUGCACAUCUUACCGUGUUGUUUUAUAUUUGACAGUGCCGACGAAGUCCCGAGCGGCUUCGAGACAAGGAAGAGAAGCUCCGCGACUCACUUGAGCCAGUCAGUCAGUGGUCAGUGGCGUCAGCUUUGUUGUGGUGUACGCGUGAGUCUUGUGUUUUCUUGAACGCUUUUUUGGGCUUUAGGUGAACCAAAACUCUCCCAAAGCCUGUCCACAGUGGUCAGCAGCUGUGACACAAGGAGCAGCUUUCUCAGCGACGGGGAGCGGUGGACGGCGGAUGAAUACUUCGGCUCCCGCGCCUUCUUCUGCAUCAUGUCCGACCCUCUGACCCUGGUGGUGGGCGACCUGCGUCAGAGGAGUUGAAAAUGUAGGGGACUCGCUGCUGUGCCCUGCGUGUAGCUGUGAGAUGAAGUACAGACGGCUGCAUUGUCUCAGCCUCGGAGGUGCCACUUGUUCAAAUUA